rnacentral:rRNA from 1 species
GUGCCAGCAGCCGCGGUAAUACGUAGGGUGCGAGCGUUGUCCGGAAUUACUGGGCGUAAAGAGCUCGUAGGUGGUUUGUCGCGUCGUCUGUGAAAUUCUGGGGCUUAACUCCGGGCGUGCAGGCGAUACGGGCAUAACUUGAGUGCUGUAGGGGUAACUGGAAUUCCUGGUGUAGCGGUGAAAUGCGCAGAUAUCAGGAGGAACACCGAUGGCGAAGGCAGGUUACUGGGCAGUUACUGACGCUGAGGAGCGAAAGCAUGGGUAGCGAACAGGAUUAGAUACCCUGGUAGUCAAGGGCGAAUUCGUU